AACGAACGCUGGCGGCAUGCCUAACACAUGCAAGUCGAACGAGACCUUCGGGUCUAGUGGCGCACGGGUGCGUAACGCGUGGGAACCUGCCCUUAGGUUCGGGAUAACUCCCCGAAAGGGGUGCUAAUACCGGAUAAUGUCUUCGGACCAAAGAUUUAUCGCCUUUGGAUGGGCCCGCGUUGGAUUAGCUAGUUGGUAGGGUAAAAGCCUACCAAGGCGACGAUCCAUAGCUGGUCUGAGAGGAUGAUCAGCCACACUGGGACUGAGACACGGCCCAGACUCCUACGGGAGGCAGCAGUGGGGAAUAUUGGACAAUGGGCGAAAGCCUGAUCCAGCAAUGCCGCGUGAGUGAUGAGGGCCUUAGGGUUGUAAAGCUCUUUUACCCGGGAUGAUAAUGACAGUACCGGGAGAAUAAGCUCCGGCUAACUCCGUG
rnacentral:rRNA from 1 species